AGUGAACGCUGGCGGCGUGCCUAAUACAUGCAAGUCGAACGGAGUGGCGCACGGGUGAGUAAUGUAUAGCUAAUCUGCCCUACACUAGAGGACAACAGUUGGAAACGGCUGCUAAUACUCUAUAGUGUAGGAUGAGGCUAUAUUGUAUCAGCUAGUUGGUGAGGUAAUGGCUCACCAAGGGUAUGACGCAUAACUGGUCUGAGAGGAUGAUCAGUAAAACUCGAACGGAGGCACGGUCCAGGAUCCUUCGAGAAGCAGCGGUAGGGAGUAUUACUCAAUGGGGGAAACCCAGAAGCAGCAUCGGCGCGUAGAGGAUGACAAUUUGCGGAGCAUAAAAGCCUUUUGUUAGGGAAGCGGUACCUAACGAAUAAGCACCGGCUAACUCCGUGCCAGCAGCCGCGGUAAUAC
rnacentral:rRNA from 1 species